rnacentral:rRNA from 1 species
AGCGAAGUUUUUCUGGUGCUUGCACUAGAAAAACUUAGCGGCGAACGGGUGAGUAACACGUAAAGAACCUGCCUCAUAGACUGGGACAACUAUUGGAAACGAUAGCUAAUACCGGAUAACAGCAUUAACUGCAUGGUUGAUGUUUAAAAGUUGGUUUUGCUAACACUAUGAGAUGGCUUUGCGGUGCAUUAGCUAGUUGGUGGGGUAAAGGCCUACCAAGGCGACGAUGCAUAGCCGACCUGAGAGGGUGAUCGGCCACACUGGGACUGAGACACGGCCCAGACUCCUACGGGAGGCAGCAGUAGGGAAUCUUCCGCAAUGGGCGAAAGCCUGACGGAGCAACGCCGCGUGAGUGAAGAAGGAUUUCGGUUCGUAAAGCUCUGUUGUUAGGGAAGAAUGAUUGUGUAGUAACUAUACACAGUAGAGACGGUACCUAACCAGAAAGCCACGGCUAACUACGUGCCAGCAGCCGCGGUAAUACGUAGGUGGCAAGCGUUAUCCGGAAUUAUUGGGCGUAAAGCGCGCGUAGGCGGUUUUUUAAGUCUGAUGUGAAAGCCCACGGCUCAACCGUGGAGGGUCAUUGGAAACUGGAAAACUUGAGUGCAGAAGAGGAAAGUGGAAUUCCAUGUGUAGCGGUGAAAUGCGCAGAGAUAUGGAGGAACACCAGUGGCGAA